UGAUACAACGACUUGUCGGCGAAUCGGUAUUCCGAGGGUUCGAUUCCUAAAUUCUGAAAACCAAGCGGUCGAAGCACGGUUUUCGACGUUAUAUCGAUCAGUUACACGCGAGCGGUACGGCUGGUUCACUGCGUAAAGUCGAAUUGUCCGGAUACAGAUGUCUAGGUGUAGAGAUUGUGUAAAAAAAUGUACGCGUCGUCGUCGAAUAAAUACAUUUAAAUUAAAUUAAAAACUACUGCGUGUAGGUCAGGUUUAAAAAAGAGGCGUCGGAUUUAGAGGGGGCGAUCAGGAGCAUCUCUCCCGGACGCUGACCGUGGAAGAGCGCAAAUUAUACAG